rnacentral:rRNA from 1 species
UGAUUCAGCGGCGGACGGGUGAGUAAUGCCUAGGAAUCUGCCUGGUAGUGGGGGACAACGUUUCGAAAGGAACGCUAAUACCGCAUACGUCCUACGGGAGAAAGCAGGGGACCUUCGGGCCUUGCGCUAUCAGAUGAGCCUAGGUCGGAUUAGCUAGUUGGUGAGGUAAUGGCUCACCAAGGCGACGAUCCGUAACUGGUCUGAGAGGAUGAUCAGUCACACUGGAACUGAGACACGGUCCAGACUCCUACGGGAGGCAGCAGUGGGGAAUAUUGGACAAUGGGCGAAAGCCUGAUCCAGCCAUGCCGCGUGUGUGAAGAAGGUCUUCGGAUUGUAAAGCACUUUAAGUUGGGAGGAAGGGCAGUAAAUUAAUACUUUGCUGUUUUGACGUUACCGACAGAAUAAGCACCGGCUAACUCUGUGCCAGCAGCCGCGGUAAUACAGAGGGUGCAAGCGUUAAUCGGAAUUACUGGGCGUAAAGCGCGCGUAGGUGGUUCGUUAAGUUGGAUGUGAAAUCCCCGGGCUCAACCUGGGAACUGCAUCCAAAACUGGCGAGCUAGAGUAUGGUAGAGGGUGGUGGAAUUUCCUGUGUAGCGGUGAAAUGCGUAGAUAUAGGAAG